rnacentral:rRNA from 1 species
UUACAUAAGUAAGUAUCAUUAACUGAAUACAUAGGGUAAGGAGGCGAACCGGGGGAACUGAAACAUCUAAGUACCCCGAGGAAAAGAAAUCAACCGAGAUUCCGAAAGUAGCGGCGAGCGAAAUUGGACUAGCCCUUAAGCUUUACACGCGUUAGACGAACGGUCUGGAAAGUCCGACGAUACAGGGUGAUAGUCCCGUAGUUGACGACGUGUGUUCAGUGAAAUCGAGUAGGGCGGGACACGUGAUAUCCUGUCUGAAUAUGGGGGGACCAUCCUCCAAGGCUAAAUACUACUGACUGACCGAUAGUGAACCAGUACCGUGAGGGAAAGGCGAAAAGAACCCCUGUGAGGGGAGUGAAAUAGAACCUGAAACCGUGUACGUACAAGCAGUAGGAGCAGGCUUUGUCCUGUGACUGCGUACCUUUUGUAUAAUGGGUCAGCGACUUAUAUUCAGUGGCAAGGUUAACCAUCUAGGGGAGCCGUAGGGAAACCGAGUCUUAACUGGGCGUUCAGUCUCUGGAUAUAGACCCGAAACCAGGUGAUCUAGCCAUGGGCAGGUUGAAGGUUGAGUAACAUCAACUGGAGGACCGAACCGACUAAUGUUGAAAAAUUAGCGGAUGACUUGUGGCUAGGGGUGAAAGGCCAAUCAAACCUGGAGAUAGCUGGUUCUCCCCGAAAGCUAUUUAGGUAGCGCCUCGGACGAAUACUACUGGGGGUAGAGCACUGUUAAGGCUAGGGGGUCAUCCCGACUUACCAACCCUUUGCAAACUCCGAAUACCAGUAAGUACUAUCCGGGAGACACACGGCGGGUGCUA